UAUCCGGGUAGCGUAGUGGCCAGCGCACCUGCCUAGUAAGCAGGAGAACUGGGUUCGAAUCCCGGUCUGGUAG
rnacentral:tRNA from 1 species